UAAAAUCACGUUAUUUUUCUCUUGCAGAGAGAGAACACAUGUAAUUUACGAUACCAACCUGUGUAUCUCAGUAUCAAAUGGCAUGGGUGCUCCCAGGAGUGUGGAUGCAAGAGCUUUCCCCAGAUUCUGCAGAUUUUAUCGACGCACACAGUGGUGACUUAAAGUUGGUUGCCAAAACUUACCGGGAAGGCCAGGGGAAGUGGAGCCCUUCCUCUUUGGAAGGUGUGUGUUUGAUUUGGUGCUGCUGAGAUGCCAUGGUUACAGGCACUGCAGAAAACAAACCCCGAGCACCAGACAAUCUGGACCUACUAUCUAGGUCUUGGCACUUAAGGCUCUACUUUAUUGGAUUAAAUGACUUCUUGAAGCCAUAACUUCCUCAGCUGGUUCGAGCAAGGAUUGCCCAGACCCUGGCCUGGGGCACACCUGACAGGAGAUGUGCUGCUUGGCCCAGUUGUUUCCAUCUCCGGAGAAAAGAAGAUGAAGCCAAGCUAAGCUGCCUCUGGUGUUCCUGCAGCAGUGGAGAGGCUGCCUGGAGAGAGUGAGGACCAGCCCUGGAUGCCCCUGCUAAAGCCACUGAGCUCAGGCUGGCUCUGAAUGCUGCUGUGAGCCACAGGCUGGGCUGUGGCUGCCGCUGUCACAAUAAGGAACUGGGCUGUGGCUUCAGCUCCCUCUCAAGGGCCUUUUCCAGGGGUUCUGGCUGAGCAGGGUCCCAACACAGGGUAAGGGGUUGUGUGUGAACUGCCCUUGGAGUUAUACGGAGCUCUGAGCUAAGAGGGGAGAGCCAUCUAUCAAACAAGAUGUGAGACCUGAGAGAAAUUGAUAUAAACAAAUCUGGACUUAGGUUAGAGAGGUGCAGCCUCAGUCUGAGAGGUGUGUGGGGUGUUAGUUGUAGUGCAAGUGUCCUGGGCUUCAUUUACACUUCAACCCCCCAACCUCCCUCCCUAAAGUAGAAAGGUCACUACAGUGGCUCUCAGCUCCCCUUGCUCAGCUUGGUUUUGCUCCUCUCCUCCAGUUCAAAGGGAAUUCAGCACA